rnacentral:lncRNA from 1 species
CUUGUAUUUCCGCCAAUCUGCAUUUCAUUUUUGUUUAUUCUUUCACUUGUGUAGAUUUUGUCUUUCAUUUUUGCCGAUUGUGUACAGGUUACCGGGGUUAGUAGAUAGGUGAAAAUUAUUAUUAUGUCCAAUUUAUGUUUUCUGGUCUGUGCGGCCGUUCGUUCGUUCGUCCGUCUGUCCUUGUUCAGGUUAAAGUUUUUGGUCAAGGUAGUUUUUGAUGAAGUUGAAGUCCUAUCAACUUAAAACUUAAUACACAUGUUUCCUAUGAUUUGAUCCUUCGAAUUUUAAUGUCAAUUUUUCAAAAUUUUAAAAAAUUGAGUAUUCAGAAGGUCAGGCCGAUAAAAAAAAUAUUCCUAGAAGUUUUGACAUACUGGAAACGUAUGCAUGUAACUAAUGUCUGGAUGAUUCUCGUAAAAUAAUGUCCGAUCUUGCAAUGAAGUUAAAAUUUAUUUAUACUGCUUAUUUGACAAAAUCUUAUAACUAUGACAAAGGGUCAUUGUGGUUUGUCAUUUGUUUCAUUUCAAUUUGUCUUAAGAAGAAAUGAUAAACAUUUCGCCUGAUCUCACUGAAGCUUACAGCUAAUUUCCUACUGUAUGUAGAUCAUCACUUUAGUUAGUUGCUUGUUUGUUGGUAUAUUUUGUUAAUGUCCAAUUGAAUUAUCAUAUAUACAGGUUUACAUACCUAUAUAUGAAGAUGUCAAUCUUAAUUACAAAGCUUGAAUAAACAUUUAUACAAACAAAGCAAGGAAGCUAACCAAAGUUUUACCCUACAUGCAUUAGGAAAUUAGCUGUAAGGCAAAACAUAUAAAAUAGUUGUAAAUUUAAGUUAUGACAAAAACAAUUGCUCCAAGAAUAAUAUCCAACAUAAAAUCUUUCCCUUUCAUUUAGCUAAAACUAUGACUGGAAAGAUUGAAAACAGAUUUCGAUUUUCAAUUCCG